GAUGAACGCUAGCGGCAGGCCUAAUACGUGCAAGUCGAGCGGCAAGUCGAGGAGUAAUCUGAGACCUAGAGCGGCGUACGGGUGCGUAACGCGUAUGCAACCUACCUCAUACAGGGGGAUAGCCCGGAGAAAUCUGGAUUAAUACCCCAUGGCACAGCACACGGGCAUCUGCGAGCUGUUAAAGAUUCAUCGGUAUGAGAUGGGCAUGCGUCUGAUUAGCUAGUUGGCGGUGUAACGGACCACCAAGGCGACGAUCAGUAGGGGUUCUGAGAGGAAGGUCCCCCACACUGGCACUGAGAUACGGGCCAGACUCCUACGGGAGGCAGCAGUAGGGAAUAUUGGGCAAUGGUCGGAAGACUGACCCAGCCACGCCGCGUGCAGGAAGAAGGCCUAUUGGGUUGUAAACUGCUUUUAUCUGGGAAGAAAAGGCCCGUGCGCGGGACAUUGCCGGUACCAGAUGAAUAAGCACCGGCUAACUCCGUGCCAGCCGCCGCCGUAACAC
rnacentral:rRNA from 1 species